AUUUAGAGGAAGGAGAAGUCGUAACAAGGUUUCCGUAGCUGAACCUACGGAAGGAUCAUUGUCGAAACUUGCCCAACAGAACGACCCUCGAAUGCAUUACAAAACACCGAGGGGGGAGGGCGUGCUUCUUUGCCCCCCCCUAAGCCCUUCACGGCCAGGCUCCAGUGGGUUUCGUGUCCGUCCCACCCCCGUCGAGGGGCGGACGCGAUGCCUGGCGGCACGCGUGGCCAACUAACGAAACCCCGGCUCAAAUCGCGCAAAGGAACUCGAAGUUAAAGUGCACGUCGGGAGCUAGCCCAGCGUCUCGAUGCCCGGCGACCGGUCGUGCCUGAUUUCUUGAGAAUCUAAAAUGACUCUCGGCAACGGAUAUCUCGGCUCCCGCAUCAAUGAAGAACGUAGCGAAAUGUGAUACUUGGUGUGAAUUACAGAAUCCCAUGAACCAUCGAGUCUUUGAACUCAAGUUACACCCCAAGCCAUUAGGCCGAGGGCACGUCUGCCUAAGUGUCACGCAUCGUUGCCCCCAACRCCCCCGAGCCCACUGGGCUCGCCGACACGUCGGGCGGAAAAUGGCCUCCCGUGAGCUGAUGUUCGCAGUUGGCCCAAAAAGUUGGUCCCCGGCGACAAGAGCCCCACGACUGUCGGUGGUAAUGCUGCAAGCGCACCUCGGAGCCUGUCGUGCGUGCCCUCAUUUGGGCGGACCCCAUCAAAACACCCUAGCGCGUCAUUCGAUCAACGCUUGUAUCGCGACCCUAAGUCAGGUAGGAUUACCCGAUGAGUUUA
rnacentral:rRNA from 1 species